rnacentral:lncRNA from 1 species
AGGAAAUCUCACAGGAUGCGAGUUUUGAAGCCAGAAGAGUUACAAAGAUUGAUAGAGAAAUGACUAAAGCAUAUUUGGGGAUGUUUGGAAAUAUACAGGCGUGUUUAUUAUGGAAGUAGGUUGAUUAACAGAUUGAUAGACAAGUUCACUUGACUUGUAAUUCUAUUCUCACAUAGUUUCUGCUUUUGUACACCAAACAUAGUGGGCAGUAAAAUGAUAAAAUUUAAAGUUCUAAGUUAGUCAGCAUGGGAGGCAGAAUAAUGGCCCACCAAAGAUGGCCAUAUCCCAAUUUUCAGUCUGUGACUGUGUUACAUUACAUGGCAAAGGGGGAUUAAGGUUGCAGAUGGAAUUAAAGUUGCUAAUUAGCUGAUUUUAAAAUUAGGAGAUUAUCCUGAAUUAUGUGUUACAUCCAAUGUAUUCAUAAGGGAAGAGAGAGACAGAAAAAUUAGUGUCCACGUGAUGAGAUUGGACAAAUCGUCUGUUGCUGGCUUUGAAGAUAGAAGAGAGCCCUGAGCCAAGGGACGCAGGCAGCUUCUAGAAGCUGGAAAGAGCAAGAAACAGAUUUUCCCCUAGAGUCUCCAGAAAGGAAUGAAGCCCUGCCAGCACCUUGAUUUUCACCCAGUGAUACCUGUGUCAGAUUUCUGACUUACAGAAGUGUAAAAAAUAAAUUUACAUUGUUUCAAACUACUGGGUUUGUUGUAAUUUGUUAGGGCAGCAAUAAGAAACUAACACAUUCAACCUUUCUACUUAUAGGAAGGUGAAUGAAGAAAGCCCACACUAUUGAUGUGUAUUGUAGCAAAACAACUAGAGGGAAUUUAAAAAUAAAGGAGGAGGAAUUAGAGCAAAGAUGACCCAUUUUAAUUGCUAAGGGCUCAAGUAGGUUCUACCUGCCUAAAAGCAUCCUAGGAAGUCCCCAAGAAUAGGCUUUCUAGAGGAUACCUAUCAGACCCGCUCAUUGUGUGCUCAUAAUGGUCCAAGACUUACAGAAUCAGGACAAACAAUUUUGACAAAGUGCAAACAGAGAGGCUGGCCCUGGAAGGAGCACGAAGGAAGACUUACAGUAGCAGCAGGAGAAGGAUGUGCCUGGGUUGCACAGAGGAGAACAGACAAACUUUGAGGGGAAGACGGAGGCAAGGGACUGGAUGACCUUGGAGAGACCUUGAGUAAGUAUUUGCCGGGAUUCACUAGCAACUGGAGCCUGUGAGACUGAAUCCUUGCAAUAACUUCCUUUUCUGUUAUAAUCAGCAUGAGGAUUUCCUAAUCUUGACCCCCCUGAAAUGAUCCCUAUCAGAGUUCUCCAGAUGUUGCACACACUUAUCCAAAAUUUAAGUCACACAAAUGUUCAAUGUGUUUUCCAGAGUUGAUCUGAAG